rnacentral:rRNA from 1 species
CCUCCGGUUUACCAGUUGUGCCGCCAGGUGCACCGCUGGGUAUCUGAGUCUGGACUGGAUAAGCGCUGAAAGCAUCUAAGUGCGAAGCCAUCCGCGAGAUGAGAACUCCUCAUAAGGGUCGUCAUAGACGAUGACGUUGAUAGGGUGCAGGUGUAAAGACGGUGACGUCAAAGCCGAGCACUACUAAUUGCCCGAAACUUUCUUC